rnacentral:sRNA from 1 species
GGCAGGCAAGGAGGCCCAGAGAGGCGGGGAGGCCCAGACAGGGAAGGCGCUAGGAGGGGAGGCCCAGACAGGGAAGGCGGCCCCCGGGCCAGUGUGUUCGACCUGAAGGCCAUCGCCUCCCUGCUGCGGCUGCCAGACGUCCCGAGGAUCUUCCUGGUGAAGGUGGCCUCCAACUUCCCCACAGGGCUCUUCAUGGUCAUGUUCUCCAUCAUCUCCAUGGACUUCUUCCAGCUGGAGGCCGCCCAAGCUGGCUACCUCAUGUCCUUCUUCGGGCUCCUCCAGAUGGUGACCCAGGGCCUGGUCAUCGGGCAGCUGAGCAGCCACUUCUCAGAGGAGGCGCUGCUCCGGGCCAGCGUGCUGGUCUUCAUCGUGGUGGGCCUGGCCAUGGCCUGGAUGUCCAGCGUCUUCCACUUCUGCCUCCUGGUGCCUGGCCUGGUGUUUAGCCUCUGCGCCCUCAACGUGGUCACUGACAGCAUGCUGACCAAGGCCGUCUCCUCCUCGGACACAGGGACCAUGCUGGGCCUCUGCGCCUCUGUACAACCACUGCUCCGAACUCUGGGACCCACGGUCGGCGGCCUCCUGUACCGCAGCUUUGGCGUCCCUGUCUUCGGGCACGUGCAGGUUGCUAUCAAUACCCUUGUCCUCCUGGUGCUCUGGAGGAAACCUAUGCCCCAGCGGAAGG